GAUGAACGUUGGCGGCGUGCCUAACACAUGCAAGUCGAACGGAAAUAGCAAUAUUUGAGUGGCGCACGGGUGAGUAACACGUAGCUAAUCUACCUCAAAGCGCGGGAUAACGUGUCGAAAGACAGGCUAAUACCGCAUAAGCUCCCGAUCUGUAGAGGAUUGGGAGAAAAGGCGUAAGUCACUUUGAGAUGAGGCUGCGGCCCAUCAGCUAGUUGGUGCGGUAAUGGCGUACCAAGGCGACGACGGGUAGGGGACCUGAGAGGGUGACCCCCCACACUGGGACUGAGACACGGCCCAGACUCCUACGGGAGGCAGCAGUGAGGAAUAUUGCACAAUGGGCGAAAGCCUGAUGCAGCGACGCCGCGUGGGUGAAGAAGGUUUUCGGAUCGUAAAACCCUUUUCUGUGUGACGAGCAAGGACGGUAGCACAGGAAUAAGUCUCGGCUAACUACGUG
rnacentral:rRNA from 1 species